rnacentral:rRNA from 1 species
GAUGAACGCUGGCGGCGUGCCUAAUACAUGCAAGUCGAGCGAACAGACGAGGAGCUUGCUCCUCUGACGUUAGCGGCGGACGGGUGAGUAACACGUGGAUAACCUACCUAUAAGACUGGGAUAACUUCGGGAAACCGGAGCUAAUACCGGAUAAUAUAUUGAACCGCAUGGUUCAAUAGUGAAAGACGGUUUUGCUGUCACUUAUAGAUGGAUCCGCGCCGCAUUAGCUAGUUGGUAAGGUAACGGCUUACCAAGGCGACGAUGCGUAGCCGACCUGAGAGGGGGAUCGGCCACACUGGAACUGGACAACGUUCCAAACUCCUACGGGGGGCAGCAGUGGGGAAUUUUCCGCAAUGGGCGAAAGCCUGAAGGGGAAACGCCGGGGGGGGGAUGAAGGUCUUCGGAUCGUAAAACUCUGUUUUUAGGGAAAAAAAAAUGUGUAAGUAACUAUGCCCGUCUUGACGGUACCUAAUCAGAAAGCCACGGCUAACUACGG